GUAGUCCACGCCGUAAACGAUGAACACUAGUUAUGGGAACGUGAUUGUUUCCGUGACGCAGCUAACGCAUUAAGUGUUCCGCCUGGGGAGUACGGCCGCAAGGCUAAAACUCAAAGGAAUUGACGGGGGCCCGCACAAGCGGUGGAUCAUGUGGUUUAAUUCGAAGCAACGCGCAGAACCUUACCUGGGUUUGAAAUCCCGAGAAUCCUGCAGAAAAGUAGGAGUGCCCUUCGGGGAACUCGGUGACAGGCGCUGCAUGGCUGUCGUCAGCUCGUGUUGUGAAAUGUUGGGUUAAGUCUCGCAACGAGCGGAACCCCUGUCUUUAGUUGCCAGCAUUAAGUUGGGCACUCUAAAGAGACCGCCGGGGUUAACCCGGA
rnacentral:rRNA from 1 species